rnacentral:rRNA from 1 species
GACGAACGCUGGCGGCGUGCUUAACACAUGCAAGUCGAACGGAAAGGCCCUGCUUUUGUGGGGUGCUCGAGUGGCGAACGGGUGAGUAACACGUGAGUAACCUGCCCUUGACUUUGGGAUAACUUCAGGAAACUGGGGCUAAUACCGGAUAGGAGCUCCUGCUGCAUGGUGGGGGUUGGAAAGUUUCGGCGGUUGGGGCUGGACUCGCGGCUUAUCAGCUUGUUGGUGGGGUAGUGGCUUACCAAGGCUUUGACGGGUAGCCGGCCUGAGAGGGUGACCGGCCACAUUGGGACUGAGAUACGGCCCAGACUCCUACGGGAGGCAGCAGUGGGGAAUAUUGCACAAUGGGCGGAAGCCUGAUGCAGCAACGCCGCGUGCGGGAUGACGGCCUUCGGGUUGUAAACCGCUUUCGACUGUGACGAAGCGUGAGUGACGGUAAUGGGUAAAGAAGCACCGGCUAACUACGUG